rnacentral:rRNA from 1 species
UACGGAGGGUGCGAGCGUUAAUCGGAAUUACUGGGCGUAAAGGGUGCGUAGGUGGUUUGGUAAGACAUCUGUGAAAUACCUGGGCUUAACCUGGGCAGGUCAGAUGAGACUGCGAGACUCGAGUAUAGGAGAGGGUAGUGGAAUUUCCGGUGUAGCGGUGAAAUGCGUAGAGAUCGGAAGGAACACCAGUGGCGAAGGCGGCUACCUGGCCAGAUACUGACACUGAGGCACGAAAGCGUGGGGAGCAAACAGG